rnacentral:rRNA from 1 species
GAUGAACGCUGGCGGUCUGCUUAACACAUGCAAGUCGAACGGAAUCCCUCGGGAUUUAGUGGCGGACGGGUGAGUAACACGUAAGAACCUGACUCUAGGACGGGGACAACAGUUGGAAACGACUGCUAAACCCGGAUGAGCCGAAAGGUAAAAGAUUUAUCGCCUAGAGAGGGGCUUGCGUCUGAUUAGCUAGUUGGUAAGGUAAAGGCUUACCAAGGCGACGAUCAGUAGCUGGUCUGAGAGGAUGAUCAGCCACACUGAGACUGGGACACGGCCCAGACUCCUACGUGAGGCAGCAGGGGGGAAUUGUCCGCAAUGGGCGAAAGCCUGACGGAACAAGACCGCGUGGGGGAGGAAGGUUCUUGGAUUGUCAACCCCUUUUCUCAGGGAAGAACACAAUGACGGUACCUGAGGAAAAAGCAUCGGCUAACUCCGUGCCAGCCGCCGCAGUAAAAC